AGGCUCUGACCUCACCUCCAGUUUCCCACCCUCUUUCCCCUCCUCCGGCUACGGCGGUUGGCGCGGAACAGUUUGACUUGCUGGCCCAGCAGGUCAAGGGCCUCACUGAAGCGGUGCAGGCCAUACAACAGCAGCAACAGCCGCAGGCGUCAGUGCGGCCGGAGAGAAUGUCAUCGGAACUCCAAAAUUCGACGGCAGGAUGGGCCACUUGGGUCAAUCGCCCUAUCUUUCCUAGAAAGACGAAUCCGAUGGUGGAGAGCCCUCAGUCGGAU
rnacentral:lncRNA from 1 species